GAUGAAGAACGCAGCGAAAUGCGAUAAGUAAUGUGAAUUGCAGAAUUCAGUGAAUCAUCGAAUCUUUGAACGCUCAUUGCGCCGGCCAGUAGUCUGGCGGGCAUGCCUGUUCGAGCGUCAUUACAACCCUCAGGCCCCCGGGCCUGGCGUUGGGGAUCGGCGGAGCCCCCCGUGGGCACACGCCGUCCCCCAAAUGCAGUGGCGGUCCCGCCGCAGCUUCCAUCGCGUAGUAGCUAACACCUCGCGCCUGGAGAGCGGCGCGGCCACGCCGUAAAACACCCAACUCUUCUGAAGUUGACCUCGAAUCAGGUAGGAAUACCCGCUGAACUUAAGCAUAUCAAUAAGCGGAGGA
rnacentral:misc_RNA from 1 species